UGCAUAUUAAUGAAGACAUCCCUGCUAUUAUAGAUUUUAAAAAACAGUUUUUUUCAAUAUAGUUCAUUCCCCUUUAUGUUAACAACAUUUAGAAAUCUAUUUCACUUUUUAACAUUUGACACACAUGUUCAUGUUUAUAUCUACCAUACAGAUUGCCUAAGGACUUUAUGUUGAUGAAAUCGUCCGGGAACAAUUGUGGCAUCAAAUGUGAAACUUCUCAACAGUCAGUAUCAUCCCACACAUCUAACACUGAUAAGUUUCUCUCAAAUGUUGUUCACGUCUCGCCAGAGGAGCUAACUGUUUUGUAUGAGCCAACUACUUGCCUUACCGUUGCGAGGACUGACAAGCUGCUUGCUGAUCCCAGCGGAUGGUACUAUAAAGCGUGUCAUAAAUGUCCCUAGGCUUCUAAGGGGGAUGUUCCACCUUAAUUUUGUAGGGAGGGUCACCGAACAUAGACUGAAUUAUGGAGGUUUAAAAUAAUGGUUGAAGUUGAACACAAUGGGAGCACUGGGAGGUUUGUUUUUUUGGAUCGUGAAGCUUCGGAUAUCCUAGAAACUAUUGCUGCACUACUUCAGUCGACCAUGAUAGAG